AGCAAUACGUACGACACACAGAAUAGAUACACAGAGAAUAGGGCCACUCCAUUUUUUUUUCUUGAACACAAGCAGUGAGCACAAAGAGGAAGAAGAGAAUACUCCACCCGCUUUACACACACUGCAAAAACAGAAUACUACACACAAAAUUAGGUUUCGAAGAAAACAUAUAACACACAAAAUUAAUUUUUCUUUCCUUCAUCAACGAAUUCACUAACACAGACCUCACCACCAUCCUCUUCUACAUAGGUUCACACACACGCACAGCUUCACGUAAACUGACACACCCACACACAGUAAAGAGAGAUCGAGAGUGAGAGAUCGUGAUGGAGAACGGACCGGAGACAGCCGAAGAAAAAAAUAGAGAGAAAAGAUCAAAAAAUGGACUGAAAAGGGGAAGGGGGUGGUCGGGAUAGUGCACUGGUGAGAGAUUCAUUCCUUCUCCAAGCUUUUUCUGGCGAAAACUUUCACCGAAAUUGAUUUUGGUUCGUUGUCCGGCCGACCAGUUCAAUAAGAAUCAAUUUUUUUUCAUUCUUCUUUGAUUUCUAAGGGGAUCUGGACGGAAACGUUAAGCUUGGCCAGAUAACGUGGACCAGCAGAGAAUUCUUCACUGAAAUCGGUCCAGUUUCGAAUCAGUUUUGCGAUAGUUUUUGUGUACGGGUCUGGUUUAUUCCGUUGCUUUCCGUUUGGAUCUUCGGCCUUCGUAUUGAUUUUGGGGUUUAGAUUCUGUUCGUCCCGAUCGGUUCGUCACUAUCAGUCUUCGAGUUUGAAAUUUCUCAAUACCGAAUUGGAGUUCGUCAGUGUUGAGGUUCUAUUCAAAUUUUAAAGUCUAGGCUUUCUUAACAUUAUUAUCAAAGAAAUUGGCAUUUUCAAAGUCCAUCUCUUAACUUUACUUUUUAUUAUCUUGUUGGUUAAUAUCAUAAUUUUAUGGUGGAGUUUUGAAUAUUUUGAGCAAAUAUUAAUUAUUGUUAUGGAUAUGAAUGACUCGCGUGCUUAAAUGUUUGAAUCUUCAUUAAGUGUAUAUGUUUGAUGUUGAUUUCAAAUUUUGAAAAGUGAUUUGAUAAUCGAAAAAUGUGUUAAUCAUUGGCUGAGAAUAGAUUUUGGGUGGAAUUGAGAAAUUGAUAAAAAAGAUAAAUUUAGAUUACUUUUAGUUUAUUAUCGUGUUGUUUAAUUUGGAAUAAAUAUCAAGUUUGUGAACUCAAUAGGGUUAUAUUUUAGGUCGAAAUCUUAGUAGGCAAAGUUUAGGUUCGGAUAGGUAAAUUUAGGAAUGGUGUUUCUGUUGAAUGCUUUAUAAAUUUAGGAAUGGUGUUUCUGUUGAAUGCUUUAAUGUGGAAUGUGUGAAUGUGUGUUGAAUGUUUUCUAGUUUAUCAUACUUAAUUCAAGUGUAUUCAUCUGGUCGGAGAAUGCUCCGAGGUUUCAUGUAUUUAUUCACAGGGGAAUGUCCCAACGUAUUAUGUCUUCGAAGGAGGUUAGUGAUCAAGGUCCUAGGCAUCGGAUAAAAUAUUGGAACAUAGUUUAGGAUUAGUGUAGGUUAGUGUAGGUUUACAUUUAAGUACCUUUUUAUUUUUAGUCUGUAAUAAAUUGGACAGGACACUAUAUUUUUUAACUUGUUUUUGUUUUGUUGUUUGGUGUGUUUUUGUAUGGUUUAUACAUUAUUCAUAGUGUCGAAUUAGCCGAUACGCUCUUCCAAGCGACCGUGGUCGAAUCACGGGAUCGAGGGAUGCCUAACACCUUUUUUUCGGUCAACAGAAUUCCUUAAUCAGAAUCUCUGUCCGUAAAUUAGUUUUAAAGAGUCAAAUCAUUUUGAAAAAGGAUUUCUAAAGGUAACUUGGCACACUUAAUAUAUCAAGUGGCGAUUCUGAAUUAAAAAUGCAAAUAAUCCUUUUCGAAACAAAUUUCAUCUUUUGUCACUUAAUAAUAAAAAUUCUUUCAAAAUUUUAAAAAUAAUCCUUCUUUUUGGUUAAAAGAAAUAGUGUGACAGCAUGUCUAAAGGUAGAUUUUAUAUCUCAUUGAGGAUUGACAUUGGUCAAGAUUAGUGAUAGUCUAUUAAGUGUCACCAACAGUUCAAAAAGCAUAAUUACUAUUUCAAAGGUAACAAACGAUUAAUUUUGUACGCCUUAAAUGUUAACAUUUCUUUUUACUUCAUAUAUAAAAUCCUCCAUUCGUCAUUAUUCUAUUUCCUCGACUCUAUUUUUAUUUUAAAAUUUUACAAUGUCUCAAGCAUUUCAAACAUUCAAUUCAAAAAAAACUCUAAUUUGUCAUUGUGAAAAUGUGAUUGUCUUAAGAACGUCACGCACAAACUCAAGUACAGAUUGCAAAUUUUAUAACUACGCAAUUGUGAAGGUGAGUCGUGUAUGUUUUCUUAAAAAUUAAGUAAAUCGUUAUGUAAUUAUUAUUAUUAUUAUUUUCUAGGAUAAUGGCACAUGCUCAUUUUUUAAAUGACUUGAUGAGGUAUCACCCAAGCAGUCCAUCAACGUUGAGUCUGGGAUUCGAAACAUCAAAUUUUGAUGGCGUGGCAAAAUUUAAUUUACUACAAAGGCUCCAAAAAUACAAAAAAAA
rnacentral:lncRNA from 1 species